rnacentral:rRNA from 1 species
UACGUAGGUGACGAGCGUUAUCCGGAAUUAUUGGGCGUAAAGCGCACGCAGGCGGCCUGUCAAGUCUGACGUGAAAUCUCCCAGCUUAACUGGGAGCGGUCGUUGGAAACUGAUGGGCUUGAGGCAAGGAGAGGGGUGUGGAAUUCCCGGUGUAGUGGUGGAAUGCGUAGAGAUCGGGAGGAACAUCAGUGGCGCAAGCGGCACCCUGGCCUUGGCCUGACGCUCAGGUGCGAAAGCGUGGGGAGCAAACAGG